CACGUAGGCACCAAGCGUUGUCCGGAUUUAUUGGGCGUAAAGAGCUCGUAGGCGGUUCGGUUAGUCGGGUGUGAAAACUUUGGGCUCAACCCAAAGCGUGCACUCGAUACUGCCGUGACUAGAGUUCGGUAGGGGAGUGGGGAAUUCCUAGUGUAGCGGUGAAAUGCGCAGAUAUCAGGAGGAACACCGGUGGCGAAGGCGGAUCUCUGGGCCUUGCCUGACGCUGAGGCGCGAAAGCUAGGGGAGCAAACGGG
rnacentral:rRNA from 1 species